GAUGAACGCUGGCGGCGUGCCUAAUACAUGCAAGUCGAGCGAACAGAUGAGGAGCUUGCUCCUCUGACGUUAGCGGCGGACGGGUGAGUAGCACGUGGAUAACCUACCUAUAAGACUGGGAUAACUUCGGGAAACCGGAGCUAAUACCGGAUAAUAUAUUGAACCGCAUGGUUCAAUAGUGAAAGACGGUUUUGCUGUCACUUAUAGAUGGAUCCGCGCCGCAUUAGCUAGUUGGUAAGGUAACGGCUUACCAAGGCAACGAUGCGUAGCCGACCCGAGAGGGUGAUCGGCCACACUGGAACUGAGACACGGUCCAGACUCCUACGGGAGGCAGCAGUAGGGAAUCUUCCGCAAUGGGCGAAAGCCUGACGGAGCAACGCCGCGUGAGUGAUGAAGGUCUUCGGAUCGUAAAACUCUGUUAUUAGGGAAGAACAAAUGUGUAAGUAACUAUGCACGUCUUGACGGUACCUAAUCAGAAAGCCACGGCUAACUACGUG
rnacentral:rRNA from 1 species